GUACCUUCAAGCUUUGCUUGGUGUUGGGUGCUUGUCUUUUUGUUAAUAAGACUCACCUCAAAGUCAUUGGCAGCCAGUGUUUUGGUAGUAAGCGCAGCACAUUUUGCGUCUUGGUCCCUCAACAGCGGCAUCCAUCAAGCCAUUUUCUCAC
rnacentral:misc_RNA from 1 species